GGUCAUGGUUUAAGGAAUGUGUCACGUUUCUUCAGAGAUUCCAGUCGGAAUCCGAGCCGAGAUAAUGGAUGCUCUAGGGUUUAUGAAGGUUUGACGAACUCUGCUGCGUGUACCAGCGAUACACAAAGAUCCUCUUUAAAUGGCUUCCGGUAAGACGAUUAGGGUUCCGGCGUGCUGGACUGCCAUCUCUGUCAAAAAAGGUUCCUCAAAGAUAGUGGUUGUGGGUGGAAGACGAUGACACAAGCCUUGAAUCAAAUCCAUGUUUACUCGACCUCCAUAUUUUGAGGGUAAAAGUGAAGAUGACUUCUUUGACAGGACUUAAAGCAAGUUGAAGUUUGCACG